rnacentral:rRNA from 1 species
UGAACGCUGGCGGCGUGCCUAAUACAUGCAAGUCGAACGAAACUUCUUUAUCACCGAGUGCUUGCACUCACCGAUAAAGAGUUGAGUGGCGAACGGGUGAGUAACACGUGGGCAACCUGCCCAAAAGAGGGGGAUAACACUUGGAAACAGGUGCUAAUACCGCAUAACCAUAGUUACCGCAUGGUAACUAUGUAAAAGGUGGCUAUACUACCGCUUUUGGAUGGGCCCGCGGCGCAUUAGCUAGUUGGUAGGGUAAAGGCUUACCAAGGCAAUGAUGCGUAGCCGAAUUGAGAGGUUGAUCGGCCACAUUGGGACUGAGACACGGCCCAAACUCCUACGGGAGGCAGCAGUAGGGAAUCUUCCACAAUGGGCGAAAGCCUGAUGGAGCAACGCCGCGUGGGUGAAGAAGGUCUUCGGAUCGUAAAACCCUGUUGUUAGAGAAGAAAGUGCGUGAGAGUAACUGUUCACGUUUCGACGGUAUCUAACCAGAAAGCCACGGCUAACUACGUG